rnacentral:lncRNA from 1 species
CCAGCGGACAUCAGAUCGAGGGCAGAAAAUGUUCCACUAGAUUAAUGCACAUAUUUUGUCUGAAUGUGGUGAAAAGCAGGACCGGUAAGAUGAUCAAACAGCGCUGCAGUUGCCGAGUCUGUCUGGGGCGCCGAAUUGCGCCGAGAUCGAGGAUGCAGAUAGGCGGCGGGCUGCACGGGCCAUGCACGGGCUUCCCGACACGACCCAGCGCGGCCUCAGCCGUGGCGCGAGGACUCCAACGAUACGGACGAAGUACCCGGAGGCGGUCAGGUGCAGUUUGUCCAGCACGGGCCGGGGCAAAGGGCGGCGCGGGGCGGCGGCGGCGUGCUUCAGUC